AGUGACACUCACAUUCCAUUCUAGAAAAUACCUCAUAGGGAGUUUGUCUCCACUUUGAUUCUAGAUCUUAUUGAGUUGAGAAUCAAUCUAAAACACCAAAUUCACUGAUUCCAGAGUUAAUCUAAGGAGUUUAUACAAGAUAUUACUCAAAAAGCUGUUCCCAAUAAACCUGUACUGUUGGUUUAAGAUACAUGGUGUAUGCAGGGAGAAGCAACUUCUAAUUGAGCAGUGAAUAUAUCAACAGAUCCUGAGGUGUUUCAUACUGACAAUGGGUGUGUUUAGUGGAUCACUGUAAGGAGUUCCUUAACCCAAUCUCCAGUGAGAGGGAAAUGGAUGUUACUAAAACUGCUUAGGAAUACCAUAAAAAAUGAAGUCUGUCUCAUUAAUAAAACAAGUCUGAAUCAGGUCAAGUCAUCAUGGAGAUAUUGGCUCCAAUUUAAUUGGGAUCCCCAUUACAUAUGAGACAGCAUUCUGGGUUCUUUAUCCUAUAACCAUGACUCUGAAUAAAGAAGAUUAAAAAUGA